rnacentral:rRNA from 1 species
UACGUAGGGGGCAAGCGUUGUCCGGAAUCAUUGGGCGUGAAGCGCGUGUAGGCGGUUCGAUAAGUCUGCUGUGAAAGUCCAGGGCUCAACCCUGGGAUGCCGGUGGAUACUGUCGGGCUAGAGUACGGAAGAGGCGAGUGGAAUUCCCGGUGUAGCGGUGAAAUGCGCAGAUAUCGGGAGGAACACCAAUUGCGAAGGCAGCUCGCUGGGACGUUACUGACGCUGAGACGCGAAAGCGUGGGGAGCAAACAGG